AGGCAAAACCUAACAUCUGACCGCACCCUUUUUGCUAUUAAAAAAAAAAAAAAGCUUCUAUUUUUUUCCUCCUGUCGUUAAGAUAAAUUCUCCAGUAGACAACCUCUCCCACUAAUUGUGUAUUAGCAACGUAUUUUAUCUUGAGAGCUUGUACACUGGGCUCUCAACGUGGUGUGGAAGGUAGCCUGUUACAGUGCUGGAUUCAUAAAAGGGCCUUUAUGGUUUGUGAAAGAAUAUCUGUGUGCUUAGGGAGGAAACUUUUUGAUCUGCAGAAAAGCCAGAAGACAUCUAGGACAUCCAUAAAAAUUCAUCAGAGAGCAUUUUACUACUGAGCUGCAAAGGGAAAAACUUAAAAUGGAUAUGAAAAGUGAAGAAAGUGAUCAUAGGAGAAAACCAUUUCAGAUGACAAGAGCACCUCAAAGGCAGCAGCCUCAAGGAGCAGCCAUGGCCCCAGACUUGUCGCACGGAUGCAGAAAACUUAAUGGAGGAGGCUGAGGAACUCUUCCAGACUCUGGGAAAUAUGUCUCCAAGAAAGCAGACAAUACCCCUGCCCUCUGUGGAAGACUGACAAAUAUACAAGUGCAUAUGUAUAUAUAGACUGUCAGAUGAUGUAAGUAUGAUGAAGAAAAUGAAAGCCAUGUAAUGGGUGAUGGAGCGGGGCAUAGAAAGGUGCCAUUUGCUAUUUUAUAGAAGUAGAUCAGGGAAGACCAUGUCAUGGUAGAUAUCUGAGCAGAGACCAUUCCAGGUGUGGGAGCAUGUCAGAGAGGUAUCCAGGGGCAACAGUUCCAGGCAGAGAAAGCAUGAAGAGCAAGGUGCCCAAGGCCAGAGCAUGUGUGCUUGGCAUUUUCCAGGAGCAGCAAGGAAUUUAGUGUGGCUGAAGGAGAAUGAGCAAGGGAGAAAGCAGCAGGAGAGUGCACAUGAAGCCCUGUGUGCCAUUACGAAGACUCUGCUUUUUUUUUUUUUUUGAGUCGGAGUCUUGCUCUUCCGCCCAGGCCGGAGUGCAGUGGCGCGAUCUCGGCUCACUGCAAGCUCCGCCUCCCGGGUUCACGCCAUUCUCCUGCCUCAGCCUCCCGAGUAGCUGGGACUACAGGCGCCUGCCACCUCGCCUGGCUAAUUUUUUGCAUUUUUUUUAGUAGAGACGGGGUUUCACAGUGUUAGCCAGGAUGGUCUCGAUCUCCUGACCUCGUGAUCCGCCUGCCUCGGCCUCCCAAAGUGCUCACCCUCCCUACCUUUAGCGUCUGCCUCACCUCUUGUCUCUGUGUUCCUCUAUACCUGUGCUGUCUUGUAUGGUCACCACUAGCCACAUGUGUCUACUGAGAACUUGGAAUGGGGCUAGCCCAAAUGGACAAUAUGAGAAAAAUGUAAAAUAUCUCAAUACUUUUCGUAUUGUUUCAUACGUUGAAAUACAAAUAGUUUGAAUAUAUUUGAUUAAGAAAAAUGAAUUCCAUAUUUCUUUUCUUGUAAUUAACAUUUUUGUUUUGAGAUAAUUCUAGAUUUCCAUGCAGUUGUAAGACAUAACACAGAGAAAUCCUGUGUACCCUUUAUCCAGUUUUCCCAAUAGCAAUAUCCUGCAAAUCUUAGUCACAAUAUUGCUACUAGAAUAUUGACAAUGAUACUACCUUAUUCAUAUUUUCCUAAUUUUAAUUGUACUCCUUUGUGUGUUUGUGAGUGUGUGUAGGUGUUUAGUUCUGUGCAACUUUAUCACAUGUGUAGGUUGUAUCUACCACCACAUCAAAAUACAGAACUGUUCCUUCAUCACAGAUUCCUUAUAGUUCCCUUUUAUAGCCACUCUGCCCUCCUUCCUGUGCCCUGUCCCUGCCCAGCCCUGACCCCUAGCAACUACUGGUCUUUUCUCCAUUUCUAAAUUUUUGUCCUUUAAAGAAUUUUGUGUAAAUGAAAUCAUACAGUAUGUAAACUUUUGGGAUUGCCUUUUUUUUCCUUAGCAUAAUUCUCUGAAGAUUAAUCCAAGUCAUUUUAACAGUUCAUUCUUCUUUUUUUGCUGAGUAAUAUCCCCUGGUAGGGAUGUACCACAAAUUUUAUUUAACUACUUGCCCAUUGAAGUACCAAGUUGGUUCCUGUUUUUGCUAUAAUCAUUUCUGUACAGGUUUUUGUAUAAUCAUGAAUUAUAUUUGUCUAGUUUAAAGGCUCAAGAGUCCAAUUGCUAAAUCACAUGGUAACGGCAUGUUUAUUUUAUAAGAUUGCCUGAUUGUUUUCCAUGGUGUCUGUACCCAUCUGUUGCAUUUUGCUCUUUUUCACUGUGGCUAUUAGACAAUUUAAAAUUACAUACAUAAUUUUUCACAUUUGUAAUAAUUUUUCACAUUUCAAAAGAACAGCACCCAGACAGUUCUUGUUCUCAAGAACAGGACUUGAGACAGUCCUGUUCUCCAGUACCAAGCUCUUACCACCUCAGGCUUUCCCAGGUGCCUCGAUUUCUAGCUGGAGUGUGUUCUCAUUAUUCCCGG
ensembl:lncRNA MIR99AHG mir-99a-let-7c cluster host gene